GAUGAACGCUGGCGGCGUGCCUAAUACAUGCAAGUCGAGCGAACAGACGAGGAGCUUGCUCCUCUGACGUUAGCGGCGGACGGGUGAGUAACACGUGGAUAACCUGCCUAUAAGACUGGGAUAACUUCGGGAAACCGGAGCUAAUACCGGAUAAUAUAUUGAACCGCAUGGUUCAAUAGUGAAAGACGGUUUUGCUGUCACUUAUAGAUGGAUCCGCGCCGCAUUAGCUAGUUGGUAAGGUAACGGCUUACCAAGGCGACGAUGCAUAGCCGACCUGAGAGGGUGAUCGGCCACACUGGAACUGAGACACGGUCCAGACUCCUACGGGAGGCAGCAGUAGGGAAUCUUCCGCAAUGGGCGAAAGCCUGACGGAGCAACGCCGCGUGAGUGAUGAAGGUCUUCGGAUCGUAAAACUCUGUUAUUAGGGAAGAACAAAUGUGUAAGUAACUAUGCACGUCUUGACGGUACCUAAUCAGAAAGCCACGGCUAACUACGUG
rnacentral:rRNA from 1 species